UCUGGUAGUUAUGGCGAGAAGGUCACACCCGUUCCCAUCCCGAACACGGUAGUUAAGCUUCUCCUCUGCGCCAAUGGUAGUGGGGGGCUUCCCCCUGCGGGG
rnacentral:rRNA from 1 species